CCGGCACGGGUGAGUAACGCGUAUGCAACCUACCUACUACAGGGGAAUAGCCCGAAGAAAUUCGGAUUAAUGCCGCAUAAUACAGGGGCACCGCAUGGUGAUAUUUGUUAAAGAUUAAUUGGUAGUAGAUGGGCAUGCGUUCCAUUAGCCAGUUGGUGAGGUAACGGCUCACCAAAGCAACGAUGGAUAGGGGAACUGAGAGGUUUAUCCCCCACACUGGUACUGAGACACGGACCAG
rnacentral:rRNA from 1 species